rnacentral:rRNA from 1 species
UACAGAGGGGGCAAGCGUUGUUCGGAAUUACUGGGCGUAAAGGGCGCGUAGGCGGCCUGCUAAGUCGAACGUGAAAUCCCUGGGCUCAACCCAGGAACUGCGUCCGAUACUGGAAGGCUUGAAUCCGGGAGAGGGAUGUGGAAUUCCAGGUGUAGCGGUGAAAUGCGUAGAUAUCUGGAGGAACACCGGUGGCGAAGGCGACAUCCUGGACCGGUAUUGACGCUGAGGCGCGAAAGCCAGGGGAGCAAACGGG